UACGUAGGGUGCGAGCGUUAAUCGGAAUUACUGGGCGUAAAGGGUGCGCAGGCGGCUCCGCAUGUCGGGCGUGAAAUCCCCGGGCUUAACCUUGGAAUUGCGUCCGAAACUAUGGAGCUGGAGUGUGGCAGAGGGAGGUGGAAUUCCACGUGUAGCGGUGAAAUGCGUAGAGAUGUGGAGGAACACCGAUGGCGAAGGCAGCCUCCUGGGCCAACACUGACGCUCAUGCACGAAAGCGUGGGGAGCAAACAGG
rnacentral:rRNA from 1 species